CUGGAUUUCCGCGACCUACAUGCAGUCGAACGAACUCUUCGGAGUUACUGGCGCACGGCUGAGUCCACGUGCCAACGUGCCUUUAGGUUCGGAAUAAUCAGGGAAACUUGUGCUAAUACCGAAUGUGCCCUUGGGGGGAUAGAUUUUUCGCCUCUAGAGCGCCCCGCGUCUGAUGAGCUAGUCGGUGAGGUAACGGCUCACCAAGGCGACGAUCAGUAUCUGGUCUGAGAGGGUGCCCACCCCCAAUGGGACUGACCCAGGGCCCACUCUCAAACGGGAGGCAGCAGUGGGGAAUCUUGCGCAAUGGGCGAAAGCCUGACGCAGCCAUGCCGCGUGAAUGAUGAAGGUCUUAGGAUUGUAAAAUUCUUUCACCGGGGACGAUAAUGACGGUACCCGGAGAACAAGCCCCGGCUAACUUCGUGCCAGCAGCCGCGGUAAUACAAAGGGGGC
rnacentral:rRNA from 2 species